GAAUAGUCCGCCCCGACGGCGGCCUCUGUUUUUCUUCCACCACCAUCAUCACAAGGAUAAGCUUAUAUAAAAACCUUACCACUUCCCCACCUCCGUCUCCGCCUCUCUUAAACCCACUCCCAAAUUUUUAUCAUUUGGGAUUUUUUUUCUUCUUUUUUAACUUUUCAAUUGAAAAGCCCUAGUUUUGUUUUAUUUAGCAAUUUGUGUUUAUGGAAGGAAGUGUUUUGUGAUGAGCUCUGAAGCGGUAGGGGAAAGGAAGGAAACCCAGAAAGUGAGGAGGAAACAGCGUCAGCCUAGUUUUCAUUCGGAGGCUGCAUGAGUAGGUUUAGGUUAGAAUCUCGCGGGUCCUUAAAUUUUGGGAGCUUCAACUUGAAGCAGAAUCGACAAUGGUCAUGGCUACAAUCGCUGGUGGUUGUACGGUUACUCUUUCACACUUGCUCUCUUCUAGUUCAUUCGCUUUCUCGCCGCGGAAAGCUUCCGUUUUUCCAAUGCAGGGGGGUUCCUCUCGAUUACGCUAUCGCCUCACUACUCGCCGAUGGUUGAGUUCCCGUUACUUAUCAUCUGCUUCUAAUGGAGUUGAUGGUUUCAUCUCAAAGUGUUCAUUGACCAACACCGAUACACAGUGCAAUCAUGUUGCUACCGAAGAGGAAACUGCAGAAGAAUUGUCAGCUGUUGAACCUGAUUGUUCAGUUCCAAUCAUUAAUCUCAAUUCUGAAAUCCUUGACGCUGAGCCUCUGAGUUUACUGACGGAAGACACUUAUGUGGAUUGUCUACUGACGACACUGCCUGUUUUAUCAGAGGAGGAACAGCAUGCCCUUGCUGCCACUCCAGCCCAUCCGAUGGGGUUAUAUGCUUUAUAUGCUAGCUGUUUGUCUGGAAAUUUGGUGGAACAACUUUGGAAUUUUGCUUGGCCUUCUGCUAUUGCAAUGAUACAUCCAAGCCUUCUGCCGGUGGCAGUCAUGGGUUUCUUCACUAAGCUUGCAAUAAUCAUUGGAGGUCCAUUAGUUGGAAAGUUUCUGGAUUAUUUUCCUAGAGUACCUGCAUAUAAUUGUUUGAAUGUUGUCCAGGCAGCUGCUCAGUUGUUAUCUGCAACAAUGAUUAUUUAUGCUCAUUCUGUCCCUUUUUCUUCUGGAUCAUCUCUGCUUCACCAGCCUUGGUUUGUUGCGCUCAUACUAGCUGGGGCUGUGGAGAGGUUAUCUGGAGUAGCUUUGGGGGUUGCAAUGGAACGUGAUUGGGUUGUGCAGCUAGCUGGAGUCAAUAGACCUAUUGCGCUUGCACAAGCAAAUGCAAUUCUUAGUCGAAUUGAUCUUCUCUGUGAGAUAGCUGGAGCAUCAUUGUUUGGCAUUCUUCUUUCUAAGUAUGAUCCUGUAACCUGCUUAAAAUUUGCUGCUGGUUUAAUGGUUUGGUCAUUACCAUUUACGAUAAUCCUCACAUGGCUAUCAAACAAGCUCUCUGCUGGGGUUCUUGACCGCCCUAAAUGUUCACAAACUUGUUCCAGAACAUUCACUGAUGCAGCUGAUUCUAAUGCUGAGAGUGUUGUGGAUAAAGGAGUGGAAGCUAUCAAGCUGGGGUGGAAGGAAUACAUGCAGCAGCCUGUUCUUCCUGCAAGUCUAGCAUAUGUUCUCCUUUAUUUCAAUAUUGUUCUCACUCCAGGAAGCAUGAUGACAGCAUUUUUAACGCAGCAUGGUCUAAAUCCAUCCAUCAUAGGGAGCUUUAGUGGACUAUGUGCGGUUAUGGGUGUUGCAGCUACAUUUGUGUCUGCAAUCCUGAUCAAGCGACUUGGCAUUUUAAAGGCUGGAGCACUUGGAUUGAUAUUUCAAGCUUCACUUCUCACCAUAGCAGUUGCUGUAUAUUGGAGUGGAUCUCUUUCUCAGCAUAGCCCUCUGCUCUUCUUCUUGUGCAUGAUUGUAUUGUCAAGAGUGGGGCACAAGUCAUAUGAUGUGGUUGCUGCACAGAUUCUACAAACUGGCAUACCAUCUUCGAAAGCCAAUCUUAUUGGGACAACAGAGGUUGCUGUUGCUAGUUUGGCAGAGUCUACAAUGUUGGGGGUUGCAAUUAUUGCCAAUGAUGUCUCACAUUUCAGAUAUCUAGCAAUGCUGUCACUUCUAUCGGUUGUGGGGUCAGCUUUUAUGUACUGCAGAUGGAUGUAUAAUCCAACAGAAGAACAAAGGAGUCUUUUCUCAUUUGAUCCUUUGUUUUAACCAUUGAUUUUUUGGUCGUUGUUGGAUAGAUAUUACAUAUACUAGAGCUUUCUAUACCUUUUAAAGGGCCACCCCCUCAUAAGUGCAUGUCCAAAUCUUCAUGUCUUCAAAAGUGAGAUAUAGUCAAAGGGGAAAAGAGAAAAUUUGAUUUCUCCAUAUUGUUAUGCUGUCCAAAUCUCUCCUAAAAUUAUAAUUGAUUUUCAUGUUGUUCAUGAUCUACUUUGACUUGGGCUUUGCCAACAUAAGGUCUCCAGAAAUGAGAUAUAGCCAUGAAAAACAUGAUAAAUCAACAAAUUCAUAUAGGGUGAUUGUUACGCCCUGGUUAGCCAAGACCGUUA